AUUGAACGCUGGCGGCAGGCCUAACACAUGCAAGUCGAACGAGUUGCGGACGGGUGAGUAAUGUCUGGGAAACUGACCGAUGGAGGGGGAUACCUACUGGAAACGUUAGCUAAUACCGCAUACCAUCGGAUGUGCACAAAUGGGAUUAGCUAGUAGGUGGGGUAACGGCUCACCUAGGCGACGAUCCCUAGCUGGUCUGAGCGGAUGACCAGCCACACCGGAACGGAGACACGGUCCAGACUCCUACGGGAGGCAGCAGUGGGGAAUAUUGCACAAUGGGGGCAAGCCUGAUGCAGCCAUGCAGAGUGUAUGAAGAAGGACUUCGGGUUGUAAAGUACUUUCAGCGAGGAGGCGUUACUCGCAGAAGAAGCACCGGCUAACUCCGUGCCAGCCGCCGCGGUAAUUC
rnacentral:rRNA from 1 species